rnacentral:lncRNA from 1 species
AUGCUGUUGGAUAGGGUGAAAAUAGCUUCAUUAGACCUAGGGUUUACUCCAGAGUCUGAAUGGAUUAGAGUUAGCAAAGAAUGUUUGAAGUAUGCGGGUUUGGAAAAUCGACGUGUUGCCCCCAUAAUGGAAGAAGAAUUGGCAACAAGUCACGAAUGGGGGUGUUCGCGGUGCGGAUUGAGCGAUUUUGAAGUGAAAAAUCACUCGAACGGCAAGGUGAGGCAAAAGUCGAGAAUAGAAAGGGGAAAAGGGAAGACAACAAGAGCAAAUGUUUUAGUUGUUGAGUGUUACUAUGGAUUUAAUGGGCCUCAGGCCCAUCAGAAAUAG